rnacentral:rRNA from 1 species
UACGUAGGGGGCAAGCGUUGUCCGGAUUUAUUGGGCGUAAAGAGCGUGUAGGCGGUCAGGUAGGUCCGUUGUGAAAACUGGAGGCUCAACCUCCAGACGUCGACGGAAACCGUAUGGCUAGAGUCCGGAAGAGGAGAGUGGAAUUCCUGGUGUAGCGGUGAAAUGCGCAGAUAUCAGGAAGAACACCAAUGGCGAAGGCAGCUCUCUGGGACGGUACUGACGCUGAGACGCGAAAGCGUGGGGAGCGAACAGG